AAACUUUUAGCUCAGUGGUAGAGCAGGCUCAUGAUAAGGGUUUUGUCCCUAGUUCAAAUCUAGGAAAGUUUA
rnacentral:tRNA from 1 species